AUUGAACGCUGGCGGCAGGCCUAACACAUGCAAGUCGAACGAGUGGCGGACGGGUGAGUAACGUCUGGGAAACUGCCUGAUGGAGGGGGAUAACUACUGGAAACGGUAGCUAAUACCGCAUACCAUCAGAUGUGCCCAGAUGGGGUUAGCUAGUUGGUGGGGUAACGGCUCACCAAGGCGACGAUCCCUAGCUGGUCUGAGAGGAUGAGCGGCCACACUGGAGCGGGGACACGGUCCAGACGCCUACGAGAGGCAGCAGUGGGGAAUAUUGCACAAUGGGCGCAAGCCUGAUGCAGCCAUGCCGCGUGUAUGAAGAAGGCCUUCGGGUUGUAAAGUACUUUCAGCGGGGAGGCGGUACCCGCAGAAGAAGCACCGGCUAACUACGUGCCAGCCGCCGCGGUAAUUC
rnacentral:rRNA from 1 species